UGGGGAAUAUUGCACAAUGGGGGAAACCCUGAUGCAGCGACGCCGCGUGAAGGAUGAAGUAUUUCGGUAUGUAAACUUCUAUCAGCAGGGAAGAAGGUGACGGUACCUGACUAAGAAGCCCCGGCUAACUACGUGCCAGCAGCCGCGGUAAUACGUAGGGGGCAAGCGUUAUCCGGAUUUACUGGGUGUAAAGGGAGCGUAGACGGCGAUGCAAGCCAGAUGUGAAAGCCCGGGGCUCAACCCCGGGACUGCAUUUGGAACUGCGUGGCUGGAGUGUCGGAGAGGCAGGCGGAAUUCCUAGUGUAGCGGUGAAAUGCGUAGAUAUUAGGAGGAACACCAGUGGCGAAGGCGGCCUGCUGGACGAUGACUGACGUUGAGGCUCGAAAGCGUGGGGAGCAAACAGGAUUAGAUACCC
rnacentral:rRNA from 1 species